rnacentral:rRNA from 1 species
GUGGGGAAUAUUGGGCAAUGGGCGAAAGCCUGACCCAGCAACGCCGCGUGAAGGAAGAAGGUCUUCGGAUCGUAAACUUCUAUCCUUGGUGAAGAUAAUGACGGUAGCCGAGAAGGAAGCCCCGGCUAACUACGUGCCAGCAGCCGCGGUAAUACGUAGGGGGCAAGCGUUGUCCGGAAUGAUUGGGCGUAAAGGGCGCGUAGGCGGCCUGGUAAGUCUGGAGUGAAAGUCCUGCUUUUAAGGUGGGAAUUGGUUUGGAUACUGUCGGGGUUGAGUGCAGGAGAGGUAAGUGGAAUUCCCGGUGUAGCGGUGAAAUGCGUAGAGAUCGGGAGGAACACCAGUGGCGAAGGCGACUUACUGGACUGUAACUGACGCUGAGGCGCGAAAGUGUGGGGAGCAAACAGGAUUAGAUACCCGGGUAGUCC